AGUGGCGGACGGGUGAGUAACGCGUGAGAAUCUGCCUUGGGGUCGGGGACAACCACUGGAAACGGUGGCUAAUACCGGAUAAGCCGAUUGGUGAAAGAUUUAUUGCCCGAAGAGGAGCUCGCGUCUGAUUAGCUAGUUGGUGAGGUAAGAGCUCACCAAGGCAGCGAUCAGUAGCUGGUCUGAGAGGACAAUCAGCCACACUGGGACUGAGACACGGCCCAGACUCCUACGGGAGGCAGCAGUGGGGAAUUUUCCGCAAUGGGCGAAAGCCUGACGGAGCAAGACCGCGUGAGGGAGGAAGGCUCUUGGGUUGUAAACCUCUUUUCUCAGGGAAGAAGCUCUGACGGUACCUGAGGAAUCAGCCUCGGCUAACUCCGUGCCAGCAGCCGCGGUAAUACGGAGGAGGCAAGCGUUAUCCGGAAUUAUUGGGCGUAAAGCGUCCGCAGGUGGCGAUUCAAGUCUGCUGUCAAAGCACGGGGCUUAACUCCGUAAAGGCAGUGGAAACUGAAUAGCUAGAGUGCCGUAGGGGUAGAGGGAAUUCCCGGUGUAGCGGUGAAAUGCGUAGAGAUCGGGAAGAACAUCGGUGGCGAAAGCGCUCUACUGGACGGCAACUGACACUCAGGGACGAAAGCUAGGGGAGCGAAUGGGAUUAGAUACCCC
rnacentral:rRNA from 1 species